GAUGAACGCUGGCGGCGUGCCUAAUACAUGCAAGUCGAGCGAACGGACGAGAAGCUUGCUUUUCUGAUGUUAGCGGCGGACGGGUGAGUAACACGUGGAUAACCUACCUAUAAGACUGGGAUAACUUCGGGAAACCGGAGCUAAUACCGGAUAAUAUUUUGAACCGCAUGGUUCAAAAGUGAAAGACGGUCUUGCUGUCACUUAUAGAUGGAUCCGCGCUGCAUUAGCUAGUUGGUAAGGUAACGGCUUACCAAGGCAACGAUGCAUAGCCGACCUGAGAGGGUGAUCGGCCACACUGGAACUGAGACACGGUCCAGACUCCUACGGGAGGCAGCAGUAGGGAAUCUUCCGCAAUGGGCGAAAGCCUGACGGAGCAACGCCGCGUGAGUGAUGAAGGUCUUCGGAUCGUAAAACUCUGUUAUUAGGGAAGAACAUAUGUGUAAGUAACUGUGCACAUCUUGACGGUACCUAAUCAGAAAGCACGGCUAACUACGUG
rnacentral:rRNA from 1 species